rnacentral:rRNA from 1 species
AAACGCUUGAAGUCAGUCGCGUUGUUCGGGAUUCAGCCUUGCUCUUGCUUGGUGUACUUCCUGUUCAAUGGGUCAGCAUCAGUUUUGGUCGGUGGAUAAGGGCGCAGGGAAUGUGGCACCUUCGGGUGUGUUAUAGCUUUGCGUCGCAUACAUCGGCUGGGACUGAGGAACUCAGCACGCCGAAAGGCCAGGUUUCGACCAUGUUCGUGCUUAGGAUGCUGGCAUAAUGGCUUUAAUCGA